GAUAACUGUGGUAAUUCUAGAGCUAAUACAUGCAAACCAGAGUUCCGACCAGAGAUGGAAGGAACGCAUUUAUUAGAUCAAAACCAAUCGGUGGCGACCGGCUCGUCCGGGCGACCAUCGUUUGCUUUGGUGACUCUGAAUAACUUUGUGCUGAUCGCACGGUCAUUAGCGCCGGCGACGCAUCUUUCAAAUGUCUGCCUUAUCAACUGUCGAUGGUAGGUUCUGCGCCUACCAUGGUUGUAACGGGUAACGGGGAAUCAGGGUUCGAUUCCGGAGAGGGAGCCUGAGAAACGGCUACCACAUCCAAGGAAGGCAGCAGGCGCGCAAAUUACCCACUCCCGGCACGGGGAGGUAGUGACGAAAAAUAACGAUACGGGACUCAUCCGAGGCCCCGUAAUCGGAAUGAGUACACUUUAAAUCCUUUAACGAGGAUCAAUUGGAGGGCAAGUCUGGUGCCAGCAGCCGCGGUAAUUCCAGCUCCAAUAGCGUAUAUUAAAGUUGUUGCGGUUAAAAAGCUCGUAGUUGAAUCUGUGUACCACAGUGUCGGUUCACCGCUCGCGGUGCUUAACUGGCAUUAUGUGGUACGUCCUACCGGUGGACUUAGCUCUUCACGGGGCGGUCCAACUAAUAUCCCAUCGCGGUGCUCUUCACUGAGUGUCGAGAUGGGCCGGUACGUUUACUUUGAACAAAUUAGAGUGCUCAAAGCAGGCUACCUUCGCCUGAAUACUGCGUGCAUGGAAUAAUGGAAUAGGACCUCAGUUCUAUUUUGUUGGUUUUCGGAACCCCGAGGUAAUGAU
rnacentral:rRNA from 1 species